UACAGACUUUUAACUCUUCUUUGUGAAUGCGUGGUUGGUCGAUGAGCACACGAUGGCCUCCUAGAAGUCACAAGGACUGAAGGAUGAAGUAGAAGAAAGAAAGUCCUAGACGUCAGUGUGGCCCUUGCUCAUAUAAAUGUGGGUUGGUUUAUUCUGAAGUUGGUACUGCACACUACUGGCAAUCAAUUUCCCCAAUUUGAAUCGACGGUGGCAUGCUUUCUGUGAAAGUUGUUUUCACCGAAAUUUCUGUGAGGAUUGUUGAAGGUUUUACUGUCUGGAAGAAUCUAGCGUGCUCAUUUAUUCAGGAGUACUAGCUAGGCACACCUUUCAACUUUCAUGUUGGCUGCCGUCCUCUCUAGUCUAUCUUGCAUAUGCCGUGGACUGUACACUUGCACUCCAAACUAGAUGCAUGAUGUGGGCAUAUGGUUUUGUAAUUUACUUAGUAUUCUUAUUCUAAAUCUAUGCAAAUUGGAGCAGAGCCACAUUUUUGUACAAAAAAGUUAAGGUAUCUGUUUCCUUUGACGAGGAAUUUCAGGGUCUGUUGCUUUUUCCAAACCGGGACUUUGCCCUGAUUUCAUUACCUUUCAGCAACAAAAUUACAUAGGGUUUAGAGAGUUUGGUCUCACCGCCGCCUACAGUUUGCGCCGAAGUCUUUUUAAACAGCACAGAUGGCUGUUACCCAAAAAGACGCAGAAGCAUGCAAGCCAACUAACAGUUUUCAGGGUCUGUUGCUGAUGAACAACCAGACAUCAGUCCGUGGAGGAGCUCGAGUAAAAAAGGCCACAGGGCAGUCGGCAUCACAAGCUAGUAAAGGCAAUAAUGUCCUCCAUGUUGGCAGGUUGCGGUGAAAUUUGGCAUCAAAAAGCACGGCAUUGUUCCGAUGUUUGGGAGUCGAAUCUGGGCCCAUGCAAAGCAAAGGGAUGGUGUCACCUCAAAGCAUAGGAUCAAACUGAGAACUGACGGCAUAAAGCGUGAGGAUUGUUACUCUAUUACAUUGUAAUGCCUUCUUUUAGGCCAAUCAUUUACUUUUAACAAUCAUUAUGGAUCCAAUUUUGGCUUUAACCUUGAAUCUUGGAUAUGUUUUGAAGAGGUUUUGUGAUA